rnacentral:rRNA from 1 species
UACGUAGGGAGCGAGCGUUGUCCGGAUUUACUGGGCGUAAAGGGCGCGUAGGCGGUGCCACAAGUCACCUGUGAAAUCUCCCGGCUUAACUGGGACCUGCAGGCGAAACUGUGGUGCUGGAGGAUGGGAGAGGUGCGUGGAAUUCCCGGUGUAGCGGUGAAAUGCGCAGAUAUCAGGAAGAACACCAAUGGCGAAGGCAGCUCUCUGGGACGGUACUGACGCUGAGACGCGAAAGCGUGGGGAGCGAACAGG